rnacentral:sRNA from 1 species
AGUUUUUUACCAGAUAAGCUUUUUAAAAAAUUAUGUUCAACAAUUAUCUUUUUAUUGUAGUUAAGUUUUUCAAAUUCUUGCUGUUUUCAAUAUCUCCUGGUUUCAUCAUCCCUACUGAGAAAUUACGUAUACAAUCUUAUAAUUAAUUGUUUGCUUUGGUCUUCUUUUAUUUUCCUGCUUUAUGAUAAAAUUUUCAUUAGCCUAAAUGUGUUAUUAAUUUUUCUUGUUUCUUAAAUAUUUGUUCAAUAUUAUAUUCACAACUUUAAGUUCAAAGGAUCAGUUUUCUGAACAGAUCUUCAUACACUAUAAAUUCCUUGUUGUAUGACCAUCUCUAAUAAUUUUAUUUUUAAUUUUUAGGUAAUGCCUGAUUAUAAUUUAAAUAAGGACGUUGACAAAAAUUAAUGAACCAUUUGCACAAAAAAUAUUUGAAUCAACAUUUAUUCACUCCUGGAAGAUAUUAAAUAUUUCAACAGAAUAUUCCAAUGGAUGGAACUUUUUCCAGCAUCUGGAUUAUUUUCCAGGUUAGACACAUGUUUGUCCACAGACUUGUCUUCUCUGAAUGAAAUCCAAAAGUUGUUUUUACUCCUAGAACCCUCAAAGCCUCUCUGUUUUUUGUCUAUCUAUUUUGCUCACUGUUGUUGAAUCUAUAUUCUUCAAAUGUGCCUUUACCAAGUCUCCAAAAUCACUGUGAGUAUAUGAUUCUCUGGGUAUGAGGUUGUGUAGUCAUGUCAAAUUAAAAUUUAAUAUUCCACAUACAGUCUGCACAGACAAAUAUAAGAAAUUUUGUAAUAACAUUUGUCUUGGUUAGUGUUGAUAGCUGAAUGCGAUUUCUUAUUCUACUGUGGAUCAAUAGAUCAAGAUUCCUUCAGAGAGGAAAGGCAAGUACCCAAAGGUUUUCUUCUAAUGACUGAAACACGUGGUCAGAAGACACACUAUUAACACUCGUCCUAAUAAUUUUUCAGCUAAAGAGUUGGGAAUGUAAGGAAAGGAAAUGGCUAGACUAUUCAAGAUUCUACUGGCAGAUUAUUUGUGAUGGUUGGUCUCUUUUUGCCUCCUAGAACAUUCAAGAGUACUUCAAGAUGCAAAGGAAAGAAGAGUUAAGAAAAGAAGGCCUUUCAUAACAUAUUGUUCCACAGGGGCUCUGAGCCCCACCAGGACAAAGUUUUCACAGUUGCUAGAGUUAACAAGACACGAAACCUACUAGGAAAAGACCUGACUUCUAUUUGCCAUGAUGGAAAACUCCCCACAGUAAUUCUGGAAUGUUUUAUGUUACUAUCUGCCUUAUGGACAAGAUCCUGCUUCUUAAAUGAACCCUAAUCUCUUCAAUUCCAUCAGCAUGAAGAGAAACAAUUGUGCAUCAAAUCAUUGGCUAUACAAUAAGGAUAUGCUGUCUCUCAACAAAGAAAAUGGAACCAAAACUGAGGGUAUAUUGGCAAUAUCACUAAACAUAGCAUCAUGUCAAACAAUAAAGAAGUUGGAUUGUGAAAAAGAUGUAAACAUAAAAACAAUCCAUCUGUGCAUAUGGUAGCAUGUAUCUUAAAGGAAUUACUUCAAAUUAUCAAAGGAAAUUUGCUGACAUCUAGACUAUAUGAAGAAUGACUUGGGGUACAUGACCAGGUCAAUGAAGAAGAGAAAGUAGCCACUGUGCAGAGUCCUUAUUUCAAAUACCUCCCACCAGGACCAAAUGUGUAUGGUCUUGUCUAUUGAUAAGACAGAAAACCUACUUGAAAAAGAGCUGACAACAAUUUGUGAUGAUCGAAAUCUGCCCACAGAAAUUCUGGAUAUGCUGUUCUUCAUCCAAGAAAAGGGGCCCCAAAUUCAGGAUAUAUCCAUAAUUUCACACAACAUAGCAUCAUGAAGAAGUUGGAUUGUGAAGAAGAUGUAAACAUAAAAAAAUAAUCCAUCUGUGUAUAUGGUAGCAUGUAUCUUAAAGGUAAGGAAAGUCCUUGCAUCAUACACCCUCAGGAUUCUUCUCAAUCUAUUUGAGUAGUUUCCUUCAUUAUGCAUUCCCUUGAGUGGUAGUAGAUAACAUAUAAGAGAAAUCUGAUAAAAAAGCAAAAACAAAAACAAAAAGCUGUCAUAAUGAGCAGUAAUGUAACUAAGUAUCUUUCAUUUGAUUCUUCCACAAGUAUAUGGAGAGUCACUUCAUACAUGCAUAUGAGUUUCACCUGAUAUGCAUGCCUCCUCAGAUGCAUUUGUCUAAGAGUGUUCUUAAGGGUGUCACUCUCCUUUUUUUCUGAGAGGCAGGUUUCUCUUCCUAGGUAUAGAGCACGUGACUCCUUCAUGUAUAUCUUUGCUGUACAUACCCAGUAGAAUCUCUUGGUCUGCUUGUCCCUCUCACUCACAAAAUAUUGGUAUCCAAAUGAAGGUUCACAUGGCUAUGUAACACGUAUUCUUAAGUACUGGGCCAUUCCUUCAGCACCAUAAUUUUAUUGUUAUAUUUAAAAAUUAAAAUCAUUUCACUCCUCCCUAUUCCUUGCUCUAAUGUUGUUUCCCUUCAAUCUCCCACUUCUGAUAAAAUACAUUUUCUUUAACUGUUAUUUUGUAGAUACAAAUAAAUCCAUAAAUAUGUUCAAAUAACCUGAUGAGUCCAUUAUCCUUGUUAGUAUCUGUACUAUUUCCAAAGGAACCAACUGUGAUUGGCUUACAAAUUAGGGGGUUCAUUUUUGAGAAAGACCAAUUUCCUCACUCUUCAUAGUAUUUAUUUGCAUGUAGUUCCUUAUCUAAAAGUUUGACUUCAUGAGAUUUCCUCAUUUUGAUUUAGUGUUACUAACUUGGAUAAUGUUUUGUUUAGAACUUGCUUAAACAACCAGACUGUGGGACUAACAAAAGUGAAGCUUCUCCUGCAUUUCUCUGAGGCCCAAUCCCAAAGCAGAUAUCCUGAUCCUCUGGAAUUACUUCAAAUCACUUAAGAAAGUCUGCUGACAUCUCGACUAUAUGAAGAAUGACUUGGAGUACCAGACCAAGUCAAUGAAGAAGAGAAAGUAGCCACUGUGCAGAGUCUUUUAGAAAACUACUGCACUCACAUGUUACUCUUCUAAGACAACGUUUCAAAUUAUUAUAUUAAGUUGAGAGGAAUUCUUCUGUGAACCAGAUGACAGCUUAUGAUUUAUCUGUUGUGCCAAGUAUCCUAUAUCUGCCUAGUUCCCACAAUAAACGAUUAGCAAAUGAUAUUGCCAAAAAGAUUUCUCUUAUAAACUUUCCAAUUGAAAACUCCCUGAAAUUAUUUGAAGAAGACUCAGUUUUAGUUUAUUAUGAGACCUCAUUAUUUCACCCUUAUGGAGUGGACUCUGAUUCCCAGAAUAAUCUUUCUAAUCCAGAAGGCAUGCGUGCUAUAAAAGGAAAAGGGCAUGCAAGAGCUAAGUGAAUUCAACUACAACAAACGAUGACAUACCUUCUUUCAUAGAAUCAGAGAAACCUGAAAAAUACAUUUUUUUAUAAAUCAAUUAAUUACUUGUGAAUCUGAUACCCGCAAAGUCAAUGUAUACAUAGCCCCACCAGCACCAAACAAAAAGCAACUUGUUGGGAAUUAUCAAAUUCUGCCAGCACCAAUAAAGAAAAAAACCCUUCUUAGCAAGUCUCUCAUGGAAAUCUUUCUUCUCCAAUACUGGAUAUAUUAGCUAUCAUUGCUGAAAAGGGACAAAAGUCAUAUAAAAUACUAAGAACACUAUCAGUUGAAUCACACUGGUACACGAGGGAUAAAAUUGAUGCUGAAUAAGAAGAGGUGAAUUGGAGUCAAGAAUCAGUCCUUGUUAUAGUAUCUGCUUUAUAGGGGGAUUUCAUUCUAAAUAUAUAAAGAAACUUGCUUUCUACAGAUUUAUGUAAUUUAUUUGGUGUCUCUGAUCAAGAAAUUUGAUCAAAAGAUUCUGCUAUCCAAAGAUAAUGAUACAGUAAAUUCUUCGGGAACCAUACAAAGAUAGAAGAAAUGCAUUUUUAAAGUUUUCUACCACAGAUGCCACAACAAAACUUCAUCCUACUAAAACACCUUAUUCAUGUGUUAUUAAAGAUUAAAAUUUCUCCCAUGAAGACUUAGACUCUUAACAGUUUAUCUGUUCACAUAACCCCUAUAUUCCAUGGCAUUCUACUUCCAGCAACUCGUUAUUUGGGAAUGACCUUUCCAAAAAGGAUCAGGUAUGAGAAAUGAAGCAAAACUAUUCUGAACAAUCAGCACAUCAAAGAAGACAAUCAUUUGAGUGUGAUUUUCCUGAGAAUCAUUUCUUUCCUAUCUUUUUCAAGACUGGUCAAACAUAAUCUUAGGUGCAUCCUGGGAAGAAACUUGUGUGAUGAAUAGAGUUGAAUUAACCUAACCCACCAUCUUAGAAGAAAAGAGAAUUAUCAUUGUUGUUCCAUUUGGGAAGUAUCUUAAUUUGUUAUAAGGCUGGGGUAAAACACUGAUGAAAAGCAACUUACAGAGGACAGGAUGUACUUCAUGAUGUAUAUCUAGUUACCAAUUAGUUACUGAGAAAUCCUAGGGCCCGAACUGAUGGCUCUCAUAGGACACCAAACAUGAAGCAGAGAGAGAGUACACUGUAAAUGGUAUCUGGCCUUUUGUAGCCCUAAAUUCUCACCAAUAGCAUACUGCUUCCAAGAAGGCCAAACCACAUUAACCACUCAAAAGUUGUCACAAGGAGGGAAUCAAGUAUUGAGAUGCCUAGAAUUAGAGGGACAUCCUAUUCAAACCACCAAAAUGAUACUCGAUCUCUUCCCCCACCCCACCCCAAGACCCAAGAAAGUAGAGUCAAGAUACCUUUAAAGUAAUUAGAUUCACAGUUAUUCUAGGCAGCAUAUCACUUCUGAAAUAAUGCUCUAGUAGUUCCUUUACUGUUUGCAAUUUGCAUGAAAUUUUAACAAAUUUUAGUAAGAGGCAAAGAACUUAGAAUCUCCAUUUCAGACACACAAUUCAUUUUAUUACUUUAUAUCUGUUUGUAGUAAUUGGUAUCAUAUUUCAAUUUUUUACUUGAUUUCUACUUUGUAAACUAUGUGAAAUGAUAGAGGAUCAUGAUUUUGUCUUGUUG